rnacentral:lncRNA from 1 species
UUCCUUCUGAAUGCCAGCGGCUUCAAGUUCAAGACAACAAGGCACCUGCCCGCCGAUCGGUGCAGCAGCGGCUGCUGUUUGAGUGAGUGUAACUUACCAGGCAGGAAGGGCGGGUGAGUCCGCGCCACCGAGCUGUGAGCAAACAUGGGCCGGCUGGAUGAUGCUGCCAAGCGCAAGGUGGUGGAGCUGCGACAGGCAGGCCUGAGUUUCCGCAAGAUCAAGGCCGUCCUGGAGCUGGAGAACAUCAAGGUGUCCGCCCAGGCCAUCUACCUCUUUCUGAAGGAGUUCCAGGGGAAGGUCAGGCCCGAAGAAGCAGGGCCCGGGGGUGCGGUGGUGCCGCCGAGCGCGGAAGCAGGGACUGCUAAUGCUGGGAGGCAGACAGGGUGGACGGACCAGCAGCUGUGCACAAUGAUGAGGGAGGGGCCACGUGGUAUCAGCUAUGCUGCCUCUGUGAAUUCUGUGCUUGCGCGGACAAGGGAUGCACCCACACCCUUGGGCUCCACUGGUACCAGCGGCACAGCGGUUCAGGAUGAGGAGGGGAUCCGAAUUGUAAGUGUGACCUCGCUUGCCCGUGGUUCCCAGCCUGAAGGGGGCCCCCAGGCAGCUGCAGCUGGACCCUCCGCUGGCCCGUCAACAGGUGGAGCUGCGGCGAGGAGAAAAAUCCUCCUGUCACCAGUGUCCAACUGCAUCCUGGCAGCUCGCAGGAGGCUGCUGGACAAGGCCCUGCUCCACAAGGCUCGGAUAAGAGAGAUGGUUCCUGUGUCUGGCCAGCCGGUGGCGGCAUUGUGUAGAAGGGACCUGUCUUGCCAGGCAAGUUCUGAAGCUCGGAAAGUCUCUAUAUUGACUCAGAGUCCGUCCUUUGGCCUAAACCCACCUCGACCUGCUCUUACGCAGAGGAGCCGCCCCGGAGCCCCUGCUGCCAGUCCUGCCCGGCGGAUGUUCCAGCAGCGGGCUGGGCUGUCAUUCCGCUCCCUGCACCCACCUCUCCAGAGGGACCCGCUUUCUUGUGCUGGAGUUCGUGGGAGCAACCCUGUGCCAUCUCCUCCUGCUGCCCAGGGUACAAGCAUGAGUGGCAUCAGAGCACAGCAGCCCCCCAACCAGCCCCCCAGUGCCACCCCACAGAAACAAGCCCCAGAACCAGUGGUCCGGUGUGGGCUGCAGGACCAGGUGCAGACUCUGGGAGCAGAGCUCCGAAACCUGGGUGCUGCCAUGCAGCUGCUGGCAGAGCAGCAGGGGCGCCUGGAACGUGAACAGGCUGCACAGACCCAAGUGCAAAGGCAGAUCCUAAGUACGCUCCAGGGCAUUGCCUCCAGGCUGGGCCCUGCAGCUCAGCACCACAGCAGAACCCCCCCACCCCCUGGAUCCUCCUCUUACAGCCAGAGCUCCUUUGUUCCCACGUCAUCCAAUUACAGCCAGGGCAGCCCAGCCCAGUCGAAGUCCUGUGCAGUGGACAGCUCUGGCCUGUGUGCUCUGGAGACCUUCAAACUAACAGGCCUGAGCCCUCAGGCAGUGAAUGGUUUUCCAUCGUGCAGCAGUGAUGCUCCCCCUCUGAGUACCGCAGCCACGUUCUCACAGUCACAGACCCAUACUGUGGCAUACACACAGUCGCAAGCGACAGCAUACAGCCAGUCAUACAAGCUGUCGUGCAAGGAGGAGCGCCACCCUGAGCCUUUAGACCCUCUGCACAACUGCAGUCUGUCAGCUCGAUCCUCCACCAAUGCAGGUUCGCCUGUCUCCUCGUCACCACAGGACCCACAGUUCACCAUCGUUAAGGCAGAGACACUCUGAAACAACAGUUCAGUUUACAGUGGGUUAUAUCAUAUGUGGCUAAAGCCAUUCAAGUUUAAGAAACACACAAAAAUUGUCUUACCCACAAGAGACUGUUUUGAUGUCAAUAGGCAAAAACAAUAUUUAACAUAAUGCAGAUGUUAAGUGGGUUGGUACCAACAGGACUGAAGAAUCUUUUGUCUAGACUGUUUCCCCACAUGCCUAGGUCUGCCAGCAUGUUCUAAAGUAGAUAAAGAUCUAUAUGGUCAAAGACUCUUCCAGCACUCAUGGUCAUUUCUGCGUUUUAUACUGUGUAAAUUCCUAUUCAAUCUUUUAACUGUUUAUAAAGCCAGAUUUGGUUACUUGGAUAAAAGCUGGAUGUUAAAAAUAUUAAUGUGCAUCUUUGUUUAUCAAAUGUUUUACACCUAACCAUACUGUAGGAGAAAAGACCUCUUGGAGCACCCUUGUAUAUUUCAGCAGUGUCACUGUGCCACUGUGUUACAUUCACAUGAAUUUUUGAAAAAAAAUUUUCUGUUAGUUUCUUCUUUGCUUUAUUUCUCCCUUUUUAUUAACAAAAGAACAGCACUAGGUCAAAGUAACAUGGAGACAAUUUCCGAAAUUUCUGUUGCAUAGCAAACACUAUCUUCAUUUCUACACCAAGAUAUAAACUAGCAGGAAAAUGUACCAACCAGAUGAAUCAUGUGGGUCCAAAUUAAUUCAACUCACUUCCGCAAGUGUUUACAGCUUGUGUUUGCUGUUCCUAGGUGUUGGUGAUCAAUAGCAAGGUGAGAAACAUUGCACAUUUAGCCUUACAGAAAAUUUUUGAUUUAUUAUAGUUAUCCAAGACUUUUAGAGAACCUACCUUAGUCACGGCACAUCUUUUUUUAUUGAAUAAUAAAGGAAACUGAAAGUGGCCA